rnacentral:misc_RNA from 1 species
CACGAUACCAUAUUCGAAUGAUCGUUGUUUUUCCAAUGAACGAUUUCUCAACCACGGGAUGCAAUUGGUAAGCUCAUUAAUCCAUUUUUUCAUCCAUGAUUUACCACUUGUAGAUUCAGAAUUAACCAAUUGGGGCAAUCUUUUUGAAGCUCCGAUUAACUGAAGAAAAAGGGUUUGACAUUUGUUAGGUCACAUGAAAAACAUAUAUAUUUAAG